CCUACGGGUGGCAGCAGUGAGGAAUAUUGGUCAAUGGACGAGAGUCUGAACCAGCCAAGCAGCGUGAAGGAUGACUGCCCUAUGGGUUGUAAACUUCUUUUAUAUGGGAAUAAAAUGUUCCACGUGUGGGAUUUUGUAUGUACCAUAUAAAUAAGAAUCGACUAACUCCGGGCCAGCAGCCGCGUUAAUACGGAGGAUCCGAGCUUUAUCCGGAUUUAUUGGGUUUAAAGGGAGCGUAGGUGGAUUGUUAAGUCAGUGGGGAAAGUUUGCGGCUCAACCGUAAAAUUGCAGUUGAAACUGGCAGUCUUGAGUACAGUAGAGGUGGGCGGAAUGCGUGGUGUAGCGGUGAAAUGCUUAGAUAUCACGAAGAACUCCGAUUGCGAAGGCAGUUCACUGGACUGCAACUGACACUGAGGCUCGAAAGUGUGGGUAUCAAACAGGAUUAGAUACCCGUGUAGUC
rnacentral:rRNA from 1 species